UACGUAGGGUGCAAGCGUUGUCCGGAAUUAUUGGGCGUAAAGAGCUCGUAGGCGGUUUGUCGCGUCUGCUGUGAAAAUCCGAGGCUCAACCUCGGACCUGCAGUGGGUACGGGCAAACUAGAGUGCGGUAGGGGAGAUGGGAAUUCCUGGUGUAGCGGUGGAAUGCGCAGAUAUCAGGAAGAACACCAAUGGCGAAGGCAGAUCUCUGGGCCAUUACUGACGCUGAGGAGCGAAAGCGUGGGGAGCAAACAGG
rnacentral:rRNA from 1 species